rnacentral:rRNA from 1 species
CUGACUUUUUCGGAAAGGUUGUAUUUAUUAGAUAUCAAACCAAUAAUCUUUCGGGAUUAUUGUGAUGAUUCAUAAUAACUGAUCGGAUCAAGGUGUACCUUGAUAGAUCAUUCAAGUUUCUGCCCUAUCAGCUUUCGAUGGUAGUGUAUUGGACUACCAUGGCAGUCACGGGUAACGGAGAAUUAGGGUUCGAUUCCGGAGAGGGAGCCUGAGAAACGGCUACCACAUCUACGGAAGGCAGCAGGCGCGUAAAUUACCCAAUCCUGAUUCAGGGAGGUAGUGACAAGAAAUAACAACUCGGGGCCUCACGGCUUACGAGAUUGCAAUGAGAACAAUUUAAAUCUCUUAGCGAGGAACAAUUGGAGGGCAAGUCUGGUGCCAGCAGCCGCGGUAAUUCCAGCUCCAAUAGCGUAUAUUAAAGUUGUUGUCAGUUAAAAAGCUACGUAGUUGAAUUUCUGAUUAUGGAUGUAG